GAGGCCCGGUGCUGUAUUCUGCCGCCCAUUUUACCCGCGGGGAAGCUGAGGCCCAGUGCUGUUUAAUAUCUUACUCAUGUUCACUUGAUGAGAAAGUGACAGAUCUGAGACAAACCCAGUUCUAGAGGUUAUGACACCAGCCAUGGAAGAGCAGAGAGGCCAAUGAGGUGGGGAGGUUGGAAACAAAAGGCCUUCUCCACCCCAGCUUGACCAACCCAAAAGCUGGAAGGCAAGGAAGACCUAGAUCGACAGAAAAGAAAUGAGUCAACGAUGGUGCAGGUGAUCUGUGCAGUGCUGUGCAGGGGAUGGGUCAAAGCUGUGAUGCUGGCAUGCAACUAACUCACCAUUGUGAGCCAAUCACAAAAGCAGAAACUUGGCCAAGCUGAAAGGGACCAGCUUGACGAAGCUUCUGCUUUUGUGACUGUCUCCUAAUGCAGAAACCAGAGCACCUCAGAAGAUCAAGGCUUCCAAAUUCUCCUGGGGGAACAGACGUCAGCCAUUCAGCACAAAGGAAACUUCCUUCUCUGUAUGUCAGAGGAAGACAUAAUUGUGCCAUUUCCUUCUUGAAGAAGUUUACAAACAUUUGCAAGUUGUCAAAAAUAAUUAGUCUAAAAUUGUUUCAUAAACCGUGGAAUGAAACAGGACGUGCCUUGUUGAGAUCAAAGGGCUUCUGUUACCUUCUUGUAAACUCAAAUGAAAUUCUUUUGAAAGUAA
rnacentral:lncRNA from 1 species